UCAAGUGGAUUUGAAAGACUGGAGAAAUCCUCCUGUUCCCAAAGAAGCAGAGCUGAGGAGGAAAGAAUCAGAAGAGGAGAGGAUGGACAGACAGGAUAAAUCAGGGCUUGUUGGGCGGGGACCAAGUACCAGAAUACCAGACACUGGAUAGACAGCAAAAGACAAACUGAGGAGUGGGAUGCAUUAAGCUGUGGGGAGAUUGGGCAGCAGAAGAUACAGCAGGAAAAACGCUUUUAGGAGCAGAGGGAAGAGGACCAGUCCAAUAAAAAACAAAGGACCAAAUCAGUAGGCCAAAUAGGGUCCCUCAUUCCUAGAUUAAACACAGGGAGGGAGCAACACCAUCUCUGGGGGGGGGGGCGCGGAAACAUGUAAAUUAAUAGUAGGUGCUGCCAGUUAACUCCAAGGCUAGCAUUUUUGGCAUGGGAAUGCCAAAGCAGUUCAACAGUACAAGUAUUUCUACUUUUGCAUCUUUAAAAGUAACGCUUUGCAAGUACUUUAUUUAUGUUUAGUCUCUGCAUGUUUUGUGAUACUUAAGGCUUGAAACGCAUUAAAGAAGGCACCAUAAAUGACUACAUUUAGCUCUUAGUCAUGGCCCAGGGAGAUUUUUUAAAUUGCUUUGUGAUAUUGUCCUUUUUUCUUCUUUUUUAAAUCAGUACCAUUGCCGUGUCUUAAGAGGUAAACCUGGAAGGUUUAAGAAUAAAGAGGAGUUAUUAAGACGUGACGUUCUUUCCUUAAAAAAAGUUUAUUGCAAAACUCAGUAUUUGGUAGCACUUCCAAAUUCACUAAUUACAGUACAGAACUAGCAAUCCUGCUAUGACCAUGUUUAAUCCUGGUUUUGGAUCUGUUGUGCACAGACACACACACUCCUGUUCAUGCUAAUAUGGUAUCUACAUAUGCUCUAACUCAUGCUGCAGUCAGUUAUGGAUGCUGUUAUUUAGUACUGGAAAUCUUUUUAAAAACAUACAGUACCAAGGACACUAAACUGCAACAUGGUCUCCAUAGUUUUCAGGCAGUGAGAGAAGGUGAAUUGAUAAAACUACUCUGAUACAAGACUGCUCUUUCCUGGGUCUGAGGCAUCAUCAUGUUCGGAACUGGAAAAAAAACUUUAGUAGAGGAUAGAUCGCAUAAAUAUUCUUAAUAUUGCAUCCCAGUAUUUUGAUACUAAAUGUACUAGUAUGCUUCACCAAAUAUAUAGUGAGCACCUCCAUUAAGGGGUGUAAUCCCUAACCACAUUGAAAUUUUAAGGACUUCAAAGAGUGGAUUCAAGUUUUUUUUUAAAAAAAUUAACAGAGGUUUUAGGAAUAACAGCCACAAACCAAUUUGUUCUGCAUAUCUAUGUUUGAUAAUACAUAAACGUCUU
rnacentral:lncRNA from 1 species